rnacentral:ncRNA from 1 species
GUGUUGUAUGAAAGGAGAGAAGGUUAGCACUCCCCUUGAUAAGGAUGGAAGAGGUCCUAGUGGCCUUUACAACACAUAUACGGUUAAGGCAUUGCCACCUACUCUGUGGCAUCUAACCAUGUUUUUCG